UUUACAGAUGCAAGAGUGCUAGUGGGCGGAAAUUGAUUUUGCAACAAGCAUCAAUUGACGAUCGGGAAAAUUGACAAGCCGAGUGACAAGUCGCAGGGCAUAAUCGAGAUUUCCACGGGCCCGUGGCCGGCCGUUUGAAGAACAGAAACUUGAAACUACAUUUCUCCGGAACAUGAAGAAAUAAUGCGCAGGUGCCGUGCAGGUGCGAGCCUGACCUAGCCCAGCGGGGAGCCUCGAGAAUCAAACGCCGGUAGAAAGAGAAAUGGCGAACGGAAGGAACGAGAGCCAGCUCCGAGAGCUCGAGGACGACUUGUGACCGCUCGGUAAGCAAUUGCGCUCCUCACACGCGUCGGUACCGGAAGCUUGCACCCUCCAGCGAGGAUCAGUUCAUCCUAUAACUUCGCUGAAUAGUUAUUUCAUAUUUUCUUCGCGCGAAAAUCGCAUGAUUUCUGCUAGAGAACUUUCGAAAC